UACGGAGGGGACUAGCGUUGUUCGGAAUUACUGGGCGUAAAGCGCGCGUAGGUGGUUUGUUAAGUUGGAUGUGAAAGCCCCGGGCUCAACCUGGGAACUGCAUUCAAAACUGACAAGCUAGAGUAUGGUAGAGGGUGGUGGAAUUUCCUGUGUAGCGGUGAAAUGCGUAGAUAUAGGAAGGAACACCAGUGGCGAAGGCGACCACCUGAACUGAUACUGACACUGAGGUGCGAAAGCGUGGGGAGCAAACAGG
rnacentral:rRNA from 1 species